rnacentral:rRNA from 1 species
CAACCCCGGCCAGCGGUCGGAACUGCNNNNCUUGAGUGCGGCCGAGGCGGGCGGAAUUCGUGGUGUAGCGGUNAAAUGCUUAGAUAUNACGAAGAACUCCGAUUGCGAAGGCAGCCCGCCAGCCCGCUACUGACGUUGAGGCUCGAAGGUGCGGGUAUCGAACAGGAUUAGAUACCCUGGUAGUCCGCACGGUAAACGAUGGACACCCGCCGUGGGCGACAUACAGUCCGCGGCCAAGCGAAAGCGUUAAGUGUCCCGCCUGGGGAGUACGCCGGCAACGGUGAAACUCAAAGGAAUUGACGGGGGCCCGCACAAGCGGAGGAACAUGUGGUUUAAUUCGAUGAUACGCGAGGAACCUUACCCGGGCUCGAACCUCCCCCGAAUCCGGCGGAGACGCCGGAGCCAGCAAUGGCGGGGGCGGAGGUGCUGCAUGGUUGUCGUCAGCUCGUGCCGUGAGGUGUCGGCUUAAGUGCCAUAACGAGCGCAACCCCUCCCUCCAGUUGCCAUCGGGUAAUGCCGGGGACUCUGGAGGCACUGCCAUCGCAAGAUGCGAGGAAGGCGGGGAUGACGUCAAAUCAGCACGGCCCUUACGUCCGGGGCUACACACGUGUUACAAUGGGGGGUACAGAGGGCCGCUGCACGGCGACGUGCGGCCAAUCCCUAAAUCCCCUCCCAGUUCGGACCGGAGUCUGGAACCCGACUCCGCGAAGCUGGAUUCGCUAGUAAUCGCGCAUCAGCCAUGGCGCGGUGAAUACGUUCCCGGGCCUUGUACACACCGCCCGUCAAGCCAUGAAAGCCGGGGGUGCCUGAAGUGCGUAACCGCAAGGAGCGCCCUAGGGUAAAACUGGUGAUUGGGGCUAAGUCGUAACAAGGUAGCCGUAA